rnacentral:lncRNA from 1 species
CAAUUCCUGAAACAAAAAUACUAUCAUAAGCAUGUUUUAAAUCCCAGUAGCCUAAUUUUAACAUACUUUCUGCCAUUCUUUGCUAUUCUUGUGUUGCUCUGACAUUGGACACUUAGCUUACAAUUCUUGUGGUUUUUGAAGGCCAAGUUUGCAGAAGAAUUUGGUCUGAAGAGAGGUUCACAGGCAUGAUAGGGCUUAUUGAUGUGGAGUUUAUUACUAGAACUGAAUUCAUUAAUAGAUUUUGUGUUGAUCUAUGAAUCUGACUCUAAAAUUUUGUGUUGAUCUAUGAAUCUGACUCUAAAAUUUGUCAAUGGAGGUGAAUGCAAUCAGAAUUUAUCAUCAACUACUCUUACACAAAUGUCCGAAUGUAUAGGAUGGAGACUAUUGGUGGAAAUAGUGGAAGAGAUAAUAUGAGAACGAACAUUUAAAGGCUAAUAAUAAUUAUUAAGAUCGUGGUAAAACAAAUUUGUUAUCGUCAAAUGUAUUAUAACCUUUUGUGCCUAAACAAAAGGUGAUACUGAUUUGAUUAUUGAAUUGUUUGAUUUCUCAAUGUAUGCUUAAGUAAAUAUCCAAUAGAAUUUAAUAAUGAAUGCAACAUAGUGGUUUAAAAAAUUCAUAUAACCAAUCUUAAAUUAUGUAGAUUCAUAUACAAAACUCAAAUUCACAAAAUCCACUGUGCAUUAGUCCAAUUCCUAAUUAGAAUAUUAACCAAGUAGAAUUUCCUCUGUCAAUUCAUUUUUGUCUCUGUUUCGUCUGCUUUUUGGGUAGGCAAGAAUGUUUAUCUUUUUAUCUUCAAGAGACUCAACAAAGGACUUUUCCUCGUUUUCCUGAAUCUGCGUUUACAUAUUAAUAAUUAGCAUCCUUAAACAACCACAAGUACUGCAAGGGCCACGUUUCAUUGUUCUGGUGCUGAUGAUCUCGAAAGAUUACGUUGGGGACGUUGAAGUGCAUUAUUACGGCAUAAAGCAAGAGUUUCAAAAUAACUAAAAAUAAAUAAAAAAAAUGAAGGAGAUAUUAUUUAUUUUAAAAGUUACUUGUAAUUUUCAACAAGCAUAGAGUAAAAAUACCAACUUCUAUCAUUUUCCUCAUAAACCACAAUCGCACAUAUUUAGUUGUGAUUUUUGUCUAAUUUCUAACAUUCGUUACGCAAAUGACUUGUCAGAUCAUGAAAUACGAUUCUAUUUGACAGUCUAAAAUUACUUUUUAAUGCAUGAUUAAAGCAAGUUACUAAAUUAAUUAAGUCAAACCUUAUCAAUAAAAUCAUCCAUUACGCCAGCAUCCUUAGCUGCUCUCUCAGCUACCCUUUCAACAAAAUUCACUACCUUUUGAUGAGGUUUAUGUGGAGGAACAGGCAUUGGCAUACAUGGAACGGUUGGAUGGUCGGCUUUCAAAGAAAUUGAUGUAACUUUUGCAUUUGGUGUCCGUUUUGGGCCCAUAACCCCAUUUCGGAAAGGUAGCGAGUGUUUCGGAUUAAACUCAUCGCUUUGCCAUGACGUACGAGGGUUUUUGGGCAUUUGAAGUCGUUUAGUGUGUCAAAACAGCAUUUUAAGUUUUUGUGUUAUUUAUUUUCAGCAUUUGUUAUUUCCAUUUUGUAGCCCAGCCCAUUUUGGGACUGCUAGCCCAGUAGGUUAUCUUUUCUUUCAUAUUUAAGACGCUGCAAGAUGCCUCCUAGGGUUUUCUUGGUUGUUCACGAAAUAAUAAAAGUUUGUUUCUAAAUUCAAUCCGUUUGGUUAUUGUUGUCGUGUGUUUGUAGAUUCAAUCUACAUCAUUUUGGUAUCAGAGCAUGGUGCGUGGGAGAGGACGUGGUGGCCAGAUUGAUAAAGUUGCAGAUCUACGUAAUCAAGUUGAGGCGUUGAUAAUUCGAUUUGAUCAAUUCAUGAUGUGGGCGGCAGAGGUUGUGCAGAACGGAACACCUCCUGCUCCUCCACGUCGUGCUCCAGGGAGUGAUGGUGGAGGUGGAUCUGAAUCAGGGGAGAGGUCGGAUGAGGAGACUUUGUCAGAGGCACGUGGCGAUCGUGUUCAACAACCUCGUGUUCAACAGCCUCCUGUGCAACAGCAGGACGCGUUUCAGCGAUGGAAAUCUGGAUUCAAGGUUGAUAUACCUGAAUUUCACGGUGGAAUUGAGGCAGAUGAAUUCCCCAAUUGGCUGACGGCAGUAGAGGAGAUCUUGGAUUACAAAGAAGUGCCCGACAAUAAAAGGGUACCUUUGGUGGCGACCCGUCUGCGUGGUCGUGCUGCUGCGUGGUGGCAGCAACUGAAGCAAAACCGGAUCCGUCAAGGUAAGGCGAAAAUCCAGUCAUGGGAAAAAAUGAAGAAACAGUUGAAGGCAGCGUUUCUUCCCUUUAAUUAUUCCAGGACUUUGUAUCAGUAUCAGCGCUGACAGAAUUUGAGACAAGGCAAUCGAUCUGUAGAUGCUUAUUCCACAGAGUUUUACCAACUGAUAGCGCGAAAUGAUGUGGGAGAAUCAGAAGACCAGUUGGUAGCGCGCUAUAUUGGUGGACUACGAUUGAAUUUGCAAGACGUCCUAAAUAUGUUCUCGUCGGUAUCUGUUUCUGAGGCUUACCAGCGAGCACUUCAGGCUGAAAAUCAACAACAUCGUCGUUUUGUAGUCGGCAUUUCUGGUGGUCCAUCUGGAGGUGGGGGUCGACAAUUCGCCCCAAAUCCUACAUUUGGUCCGUCCUAAUCCUUUACAUCUGGGGGUCGGGGCGUUGAUCGGAACACUCGGCCAGUGGUUCCUCCAACCGCUAAUCCGGGUGGCUGGGCUCCUCUUGGUGGACGAGGGCGUGGAAGUCAGUGUUUUGGUUGUGGUGGUUUUGGUCAUUUGAGGAAGGACUGUCCAUCUCAUGGGCAGAGUUUGCGUAUAAUCAUGCUAGAAAUAGAAGCACCAGUUUCAGUCCGUUCCAGGUUGUGUAUAGUAUUCUGCCCCGCAGCCCUGUUGAUUUAUUGACUCUGCCCUCUAAGACUCGGCUGCAUGGGACAACUGUUGACUUUGUUCUUAGUUUGCAACAAGUUCACGAGGAAACACGAGCUAAUCUGCUAGAGUCCAACCGUAAGUAUAAAGAGGUGGCUGAUCGGCAUCGACGUCCUGUUGAGUUUGAUGUUGGGGAUUAUAUUUGGGCGGUACUGACUAAGGAUCAAGUGCCAUCUCAUGAGCAUUCGAAGUUAUCACCUCGUACCAUUGGUCCAGUGGAAAUUGUGGAGAAGAUCAACCCCAACGCCUAUCGCCUUUGACUUCCUUCCUAUAUACGGACUUCUGAUGUGUUUAAUGUAAAGCAUCUUUUGCCAUACCAUGGAGACAACGUGGGAGAUAGUGCUACCGGUUCUGAUUCGAGGGCGAAUCCCAUUGAUCCCAGGGAGAAUGAUGAGGUUUAUGUGGAGGAACAGGCAUUGGCAUACAUGGAACGGUUGGAUGGUCGGCUUUCAAAGAAAUUGAUGUAAUUUUUGCGUUUGGUGUCCGUUUUGGGCCCAUAACCCCAUUUCGAAAAGGUAGUGAGCGUUUCGGAUUGAACUCACCGCUUUGCCGUGACGUACGAGAGUUUUUGGGCAUUUGAAGUCGUUUAGUGUGUCAAAAUAGCAUUUUAAGUUUUUGUGUUAUUUAUUUUCAGCAUUUCUUAUUUCCAUUUUGUAGCCCAUUUCCAUUUUGUAGCCCAGCCCAUUUUGGGACUGCUGGCCCAGUAGGUUAUCUUUUCUUUCAUAUUUAAGACGCUGCAAGACGCCUCCUAGGGUUUUCUUGGUUGUUCACGAAAUAAUAAAAGUUUGUUUCUGAAUUCAAUCCCUUUGGUUAUUGUUGUCGUGUGUUUGUAGAUUCGAUCUAUAUCACCUUUCUUAAUUCUCCGCCAGCCGGAAGAUCAUCGGCUAUGUCCUUUGCCACUUUCUCCGCCACUUUUUCGACAGCCUCCACCACAUAUUCCACCUUAUUCAAUGUUGCAUCAAUUUUAUCUGCCCAUUUGAGGUUACAAGAAUUGGAGUCAUAAGAUGUCACAAAAUUUUACUUCGAUCAUUAACAUGACACUGCAAUAAUUUUCAUUGAUGAAAAAAUAGAAAUAAAUAUCACUGCGUUUAAAUUGCUUAAAUUUUUUAAUAAUGAGCAUGUUUUCUUAAAACUUUAAGAAAAAUUAAUGCUGUUUCGAAAACUAAACAAAUACCUACUUAUGAAAAAUAAGAUGUUUGGCAAAAAUGUUAUUUUUAAAAUUACUUUUAUACAUAACCAAACAUGACAAUAUAUAUAGACAAAAACCCUAUCUCAACCUGAUGAAAACAAUGAAUCAAGGCAUGUUGGAGAUAAAGCACAGAUAUAUAAAUUUCUUCCACUCCAAAAAGUUUAAACACUUUGUUUUUUUAAAUGCUAAUUUUGAUCAUAUAACAUCCAAGAAACCUGGCAUAUGACUUGAAUAAAUAUUGCAAAGAAAAUCUUAGAUCCUUACUUUUUAGGGGUGCCCAUUUUUGGCCAAUGAAAGGUAUCACUACUGAUAUCAUUAUCCCCAAGAUCCAAGUUCUGAAUAAAUUUCAACAAAAUCCAUUUGCAGAAUUAGAUAAAGCAAUAUAGGUGUUAUUUUCAAAGAAUACGAGGUCGACUGCAUUACUUACAAAGGAUUAAAAGGAGGGCCAGAAGGUGUUGGAGGUCCUGGUUCAACACUGCCCCGAAAAACCCAGUUCCUAAAAUAGUACAUUAUUUCAGAUCAAAAACGUGCAAGAAAAACCUAGGUAAGAAAUAUUUUUUAGAACAAGAACUUAUCUUCUUAAUUGGUAAUUUUCGACGCAUUGAAGAGCCAAAAAGAACAACAUCAAGUAAAAAUCCUGGUACCAUAAUUUUAGAAAACCUUUUAAUUUUGCCAUUCUUUGCCACUAGAUUUGUGUUGUUGAGACAUUGGACACUUAGCUUACAAUUCUUAUGGAUUUCGAAGGCCAAAUUUGCAUAAGAAUUUGGUCUGACGAGAGGUUCAAAGGCAUGAUGGGGCUUAUUAAUAUGGAGGCUAGUACUAGAACUGAAUUCACUGAUGGAUUUUCUCAUUAACAUAACUAAGGAUAUAAUAAUAUUUGUAUGUAUCAAAGAAAUGGAGCGGUUUGUGAUAGAUCAAUCGAUGCCCAGAAACGCUCAACUGGAGCAAUAAUUUAGAACUAUGAGUUAGUCAUUAGUGAGACUAUAAAGUUUUUCAAUGGGUGUCAUUGUUGUGAGACUUUCUCAUC